UUGUGAGGUCGCUACGACUCCAUACCUUUCCUCUAUUUCUCUUUUUAGUGUGGCAAACUGUUUUAAAAUCUCCAGGACACAUUCUGUAGGAACGCUAGGUUCGCUAGACUUCAACAGAACCACAACCCUUGAUACCCCAUCUCUGCCACAAUGCCCUGCAGUCCAAAAACACGUCAAUCCUCUGUGGCACCCAGGUCGAUUCUUUAGCAGCUGCGGUGCUUCAGAACGGACAGGGCUGGAUGUCCUGACGCUAAGGAAGGUGGUCUUUACCUGUUCCUUCAAGAAGAAUGCUGUUUCUACGUCAACCAAUCCGGGAUAGUCAGAAGUAAAAAUCCAGGAGCUACAAUCAGACAUGCGGAAUUUCAAGGAACCUGAGGCCUCCAGUUCCUGGACUUUCGAAAACCCUAUAUGGAAGUGGAUGCUCCCUUUCAUAACACCUUUCCUAGUCAUCUUUCUGGUGUUACUAUUUGCUCCCUGCCUCAUUAAUCUUCUCUCUACGUUCCUUCAACGACAGAUACAGAAAAUUUCUAAUCAAACUAUUAAUCAGUUCCUGUUGCGGGAUUACCAGCCACUGUCCACUGAGGAGCCUGAUGCGAACGUUUACUAAGUGGGCCCCGAUGGUGAACGUCAGCUGUACCCCGACAUUGACCAUGCCCCCAGACAGACAACGUUUGGUCACUGUUCCCAUGGCAACGGCUAUACAUUCCCAGCGUUCCUUUGGUUCCAUUCCUACCUCCACCAGGAAAUAGUUACAUCAUAUUCCAAAUAAAAGGUGGACUUCUUCUGCCCUCCUCCUCUUUCUCUUCUUUCUCUCGCCCCUUCCCCUUGUCUCCUUCUCCUAUUAAAUCUCUCCACGUGGAACUGUGUUGGUUUGGUGGGCUCUACCUGGACCGGCAUGGUGGGCGUGGGCUGAUAUUUAACAACAAGAUUUUAAUAACAACAACUAUACUUCUUGAAGAUGGAGAAAUCUCUCAGACCUGUUAAUCUCAGCAUGGAGAAUGAGGCAGGAAUAUUAAUGAGGUCUAGGCCAGCCUAUACUUUUACAUGAGAAGACAGAUCCCCAUUUCAAAGAAAAAAAAACCCCCAAAUAUCAUAAUGAAAAUAACAUAAAGCUCACAAUACAUUAUGCUCUAUGAGGUUUUAAGUAUAAACUGCUCAAAAAGUGUCAUCAACUUAACACAUGUUGAAAGUUAUACACUGUUGAGACUUAGAUCUAAUGGCUGCUACAGGCUCAUGUAUUGAAGGUCUGAAUGUCCAAGCUCCACUCACUGGUUUAUUAAAAUGUGACUGGAUGGAUCAUAAGGAUGAGUCAAAAACUGUUGGGACUUGGAAAAAUGGCUCCAGGGUUAAUCGUGCUUGCUGCUCUUCCAGGGGACCUGAGUUUGAACUGUUCAAAGGAAGGGUAUGUCAAUGACAUCAAGUCACUGUUUUAUAGGAAUAAGGAGUUCUGACGUCCAUUACACAAUAUGGUAAUCAUAGACAAUAAUCAUGUAUUAUAAAUUUAAAUAGCAAAUUAUUGAGAAGUUUUAUUGAAAAGAUGAUAAAUGUUUGAAGAUACAUAGCUAUGUUUAACCUGAUUUAAACAUUGUACAGCACACAGCAAUAUGUAUGUUUUGCCAGUUAAAAUUAAUUUGUUUAAUAAUACUUGAUAUGGGUAAUAUUCACACUAUGAUGUAUUUCAGAAUAGGAACGGUUAUCUUUGUACUUAUGUUUCUUAAUUUUUAUUUUGAAAUUAUCCCAAAAUACAGAUUACGGGAUAUCUGAUAGAUUCUAUAAUAUUCUAUAAGUAAAAGGAAUAAUCACAUAUGUAAUUAAGAGUAGUCAUAGUAAUAUUAAUAUAAUGCGAAAUGUCUGUUAUAUAAAAUAUUUUAAAAUACGUUAGUGUAAAGCCCCUUCCCGAAGCUUUUAGAAACCAGUGUAACUUAUAGACUACUUGCGAUGGUUAAUCUUGGCCAUCAACUUGACCAACCAUGAAAGAUGAGAUAAAAAGAGUAGACAAUUUUGGUUUUUUGUUUUUAAAUGAGAACACUAAUCUCAUUUGUGAGGUUAGGACCUUGGUGGCUUAACCAUUUCCCUAAAGGUCCCCGUAUUAUUAACAUGACAUUGAGAAUUAAGUAUCAACGCAUGCAUUUGGAGAACCAAUAUUGAGACCCUAGGUAAUUUAAACAGCAUACAUGGUGGGAAGCAACAGCCAAGACAACCCAUGUUGGCUUUGCACCAUGAUAGAAUGCACUGAGGUGCAGGUCAUUUGCAUCUGCAUUGCUCUCUCCCAUACCCCAAGCACUUUGAGUAGUCAUGGUUUUCAGUACAUAUUUGUGAAACAAAUGAUUACUGGUCUUUGCUUUCCUUUCUGUAAAUUUUCUGUCUAUAUUUUCUCUGAUUAGGGUCUUAAGUGUUUCUUAUUGCUCUAUGGGUUUGUGAGUAUUUUUUGCUCAUCUAGAAUUUAAAUCCAUGUUUAUAUGUUCAGCAAUUUUUUUUUUACCAGUUUGUCUUUUUUUUGGUGACAUUUUAGUUAUAACUUUUGUUAUUUGAUCAGUUUGGUGCUGCGUUUUAUAUAAUUUCAUGGGAUGACAUUUUAAGUUCUUAUGUAGUCAAUUCUGUCACUAAUUUUUACAUAUCCUACAUAUGAUGAUUUAUUUUUUUAAAAAGAUAUUACCUGCUUCCUGAUAGAUAAUAAAGAAAAAUUGUAUCACUUUUUUCUGUUUCUUUAUGUUGUUGCUAAUCCAUCGUGUUAAUAAAGCAUUCAUUUUUUUCAGUUCAAAAAUAUAGAUUUCACUUGAACUCCAACCAAACCCCUAGCCAGCUGUUUCACCCCUACUUAGCAAAUAGUUCAUUUUCCUCAUGGUGGUGAAGUAACAGCUUUGCCACACAUCAAAUUCCCAUGUGAUUUUUCUUUUUAUUUCUGUAACUUACAAUUCUAUUUUAUCUAUCAUUAUAAUGCUCUCUCAAAGACUGAAUAUUUAACUCUCUCUGAUCUUGAAGGCAGUUUCUAGUUUAGCAUUACAUAUUACUGCAUAUUUAAGUUGAGGGUUUGAAGCAUGGAAUAUUACCCUUCUCGACGCUCUCUUUGAAAAGCUAAUUCCAAUAACCAAUUUAGCAGGCAUCGUAAGUCUAAUUCAAUCAUUCUCAGAAGAAAAGUACUCCAGGAGUCUUUUCUUUUGUGGCCAUUCAAAUGUUUAUCACAGUCCUGGACAUAUUAUCAGCUCAUAGAACUUUAAUGAUUCAUAUAACUUCUAACAGUGGGAAUAGGGUAGCAUGAAUGGCUUUCUUAUAAGUGAAAUGUAGAAAAGUCUAGCUGUGAGUUUUUCGUACAUAAUCAUCUACCUGGUUUGUCCUGUGUUAAAACAAUGUCAUGAAUGGCUCUUUAAAAUUUCUGCUGGGGCAGGAGUAUUGCUCAAAUUGAUGCAUUUGAACAGGCACAACAGAACAUAACAUCCUCUGGACGACAGCCUCUAAAGGCUCAAAUGAAACGAUGCGCAUCAACAUGAAUUCAAAGAAAAUAUGUGCAAACACAUAUGCUAAUAACUUAGGGUGCCUUGGCCAAGUAGGUUCAGAAUGAUGAGCCUUAAAAGUUCACAAUAAUUUAGACCCAAGUCCCCAAUGUGCUCACAAGUAAUUAAUUAUGCCUCCCCUUGGCCUUUCACUCCAUAUAAGCCCAUAAGAGGCAGGAAGGACCUAAAAAUAGGAAUUAUAGGCUCUCCCCAACCACCCCUACCUCCACCUUCAGAUGCUUGUGAGACUUGGGCCUUUGGCUGGCAGUUAAGUACAAGAACAUUUUUUUUUUAAACUUUUGCCAAUACAACAUGCUUUCUUGAGCUUAUGAAGAAAGGUUUCUUGGGAAUCUUAGCUAUAGCAAGCGGUGAAUAGAUUAAACUUUGUG